GCAGUCGACGAACUCUGGUAUUGAUUGGUGCUUGCAUCAUGAUUUACAUUUGAGUGAGUGGCGAACUGGUGAGUAACACGUGGGAAACCUGCCCAGAAGCGGGGGAUAACACCUGGAAACAGAUGCUAAUACCGCAUAACAACUUGGACCGCAUGGUCCGAGUUUGAAAGAUGGCUUCGGCUAUCACUUUUGGAUGGUCCCGCGGCGUAUUAGCUAGAUGGUGGGGUAACGGCUCACCAUGGCAAUGAUACGUAGCCGACCUGAGAGGGUAAUCGGCCACAUUGGGACUGAGACACGGCCCAAACUCCUACGGGAGGCAGCAGUAGGGAAUCUUCCACAAUGGACGAAAGUCUGAUGGAGCAACGCCGCGUGAGUGAAGAAGGGUUUCGGCUCGUAAAACUCUGUUGUUAAAGAAGAACAUAUCUGAGAGUAACUGUUCAGGUAUUGACGGUAUUUAACCAGAAAGCCACGGCUAACUACGUGCCAGCAGCCGCGGUAAUACGUAGGUGGCAAGCGUUGUCCGGAUUUAUUGGGCGUAAAGCGAGCGCAGGCGGUUUUUUAAGUCUGAUGUGAAAGCCUUCGGCUCAACCGAAGAAGUGCAUCGGAAACUGGGAAACUUGAGUGCAGAAGAGGACAGUGGAACUCCAUGUGUAGCGGUGAAAUGCGUAGAUAUAUGGAAGAACACCAGUGGCGAAGGCGGCUGUCUGGUCUGUAACUGACGCUGAGGCUCGAAAGUAUGGGUAGCAAACAGGAUUAGAUACCCUGGUAGUCCAUACCGUAAACGAUGAAUGCUAAGUGUUGGAGGGUUUCCGCCCUUCAGUGCUGCAG
rnacentral:rRNA from 1 species